AAGGAUCAUUACAGAGUUCAUGCCCUCACGGGUAGAUCUCCCACCCUUGAAUAUUAUACCUUAGUUGCUUUGGCAGGCCGGGGCAACCCCCGGGGCUUCGGCCUCGGUGCGCCUGCCAGAGGAAACAAACUCUGUUUUUAGUGAUGUCUGAGUACUAUAUAAUAGUUAAAACUUUCAACAACGGAUCUCUUGGUUCUGGCAUCGAUGAAGAACGCAGCGAAAUGCGAUAAGUAAUGUGAAUUGCAGAAUUCAGUGAAUCAUCGAAUCUUUGAACGCACAUUGCGCCCCGUGGUAUUCCGCGGGGCAUGCCUGUUCGAGCGUCAUUUCAACCCAUCAAGCUUCGGCUUGGUCUUGGGGCCUGCGAUUCCGCAGCCUCUAAACCCAGUGGCGGUGCCUCCGAGCUCUGAGCGUAGUAAUUCUUCUCGCUAUAGGGUCUCGGUGGUGUCUUGCCAGCAACCCCCAAUUUUUUACAGGUUGACCUCGGAUCAGGUAGGGAUACCCGCUGAACUUAAGCAUAUCAAUAAGCGGAGGAAAAGAAACCAACAGGGAUUACCUCAGUAACGGCGAGUGAAGCGGUAACAGCUCAAAUUUGAAAUCUGCCGCAAGGCCGAGUUGUAAUUUGUAGAAGAUGCUUUGGGUAUGGCCCCGGUCUAAGUUCGUUGAAACACGACGUCAUAGAGGGUGAGAAUCCCGUAUGUGACUGGGUGCUUUUGCCUAUGUAAAGCUCUUUCGACGAGUCGAGUUGUUUGGGAAUGCAGCUCAAAAUGGGUGGUAUAUUUCAUCUAAAGCUAGAUAUUGGCCAGAGACCGAUAGCGCACAAGUAGAGUGAUCGAAAGAUGAAAAGCACUUUGGAAAGAGAGUUAAACAGUACGUGAAAUUGUUGAAAGGGAAGCGCUUGCAACCAGACUUGCACGCUGUUGAUCAUCCAGGCUUCUGUCUGGUGCACUCGGCAGCGUUCAGGCCAGCAUCGGUUCUGGUGGUGGGAUAAAGGCCUUGGGAAUGUAGCUUCUUUCGGGGAGUGUUAUAGCCCUCGGUGCAAUGCCGCCUAUCGGGACCGAGGACCGCGCUUCGGCUAGGAUGCUGGCGUAAUGGUUGUAAGCGACC
rnacentral:rRNA from 1 species